ensembl:lncRNA
AGGUCCCUGGAGGAGCACAGGCGGUUUAACCACUUUAACAAGCUGCGGUGUCCAGAGACUCUUCCAAUUCCUCUCGAGUUAUCCCGAGCUACCGAAAUCGGCGUGUGUGUUUUCGCGCUGAGUUGAUGUACCCCUUUUGGUUACAUUUCUACGAGUCGGACUAACGAGAACGGAGCCCUCCGCGUUUCUGCCGCUCUCCAUUCGCUCCUGCAGCCCCCCCCGGCCGUAGCGCUCCGUACGGACCCACCGGUCGGGCCCCGACGGCAGCGCACUGCGGGCAGCCCCGGCCGCAGCCCCUCCGCCGUUCUCUCUCCGUCCGAGGUCGUUUCUCUCUCUCUCCUUUGCAAACGUUUUCCUAAAAAUAAAACUUCCACAGAAAUGUUUUAAGACGAGGUUCGCGAGGAAACGGUUUAAUUUUCACCAUAUGUCGCCACAGAUUAAAGAAAAAAAAAAUCUUUCCGCUGAAGCUACCAAAACCAAAAAAAAAAGACUUAAUCUAAGAAUGCGUUCUCCUUAAUCCGUCCUCCCCCCAACACCCUGUGGGCCAUUUUACGGGCCCCAAAUAAAUCUUUCAGGUGGCAGCGAGGCGAAGAAGCGGCGCAGUGAUGACGGAGGAGCAGCCCCUGCCCCGCGUUAAUGCCACCGACGGGUGGGUCCGCGGCAGCCGCCCACCGCCGGGACGGAGGGACCCAUCUGAAUGAAAAUCUAUUAGCCCUCCUCUCAGAGACGGGAGCCGCGGAAAUCGAUAAAGAG